UCGGGUCGGCCAGAAUUGGCGCUUUCCUAGCAACCUAAUUGAUAAGGUUUGGUUUCACUUGACCCCAUUAUUUAAUACUUAUCUUUAUGCCAUUCCUCGAGACAAAAUUUAGAGGUAGGUAAGAAAAUACCAUAAUUAUGAAUUAAAAUAUGAAAAUAAAAAAAAAUAAUAAAUUUCACAUACAUCUCUUAUAAUAUUGGAUUUUUCCACUUACAUUUUAUGUUUUUUUUUUUUUUUACUUGUAACCAUGUAAAUGAUUACCAUUAUAAAAAAAAAACAAUAAAUUUAAUCUAAAUUUUAUGAAUUUGCAAAAAUACCCUCAGACUCCCCUUCGUUUUCUUGUCUACUUUCUUUCUCUACGUUACUGAAGCAUCAUUAAACCAUAAGAAUGUGGUCCCUCUAGUGAUUGGUGGGUCAUCAAGCGAGCUGCCAAUGUCAGUUUUUGGGAGGGAGAUGAAGGAGAGGACCAAGGAUCGAGAGGCCGCGGUGAAGACAUAGUUUGUUAAGAUGUAUGGUCAUGCGGAGUUGGGGCAAAAGUUGAAGCAAUUACGGCCGGAGACCAGAGGAGAGGAAGCAUAGUUUUCUUCCAUCCAUGCGACAUCUCUUGCUUUGCUUGCUAGCUAGGAGGGUAGCGCAGGCCAAAUACAGAAGCCCUAACGGCAGCGAUAACCACCAUAAGCGCGAAAGAAAAGCAGCCAAGGCCUUCGAAGAGACACGAAUCACAUACCUUGAUGACAAACCGGAUUAAUUAGGAAUGGCUAGAUCGACAUCUCAGCUAGGGCAGGGCAUUAGGGCAAUAACGAUAAAGGAAUUUGAGCGUUGAUGUUGCUAACAGCCACCUUCAUUGUCGAUUAAUAAUCAUUAGGGUCGUCCAGUUGAAUGCAAGGUCGAUGAAGCUGAG
rnacentral:lncRNA from 1 species